rnacentral:tRNA from 1 species
GGUGUGUAGCUCUGCGGUAGAGCAAGGGCUUAGCGUGUCUGAGGCCCUGGGUUCAAUCCACAACACACACA